rnacentral:rRNA from 1 species
GGUUAAGCGACUAAGCGUACACGGUGGAUGCCCUGGCAGUCAGAGGCGAUGAAGGACGUGCUAAUCUGCGAUAAGCGUCGGUAAGGUGAUAUGAACCGUUAUAACCGGCGAUUUCCGAAUGGGGAAACCCAGUGUGAUUCGUCACACUAUCAUUACGUGAAUACAUAGCGUAAUGAAGCGAACCGGGGGAACUGAAACAUCUAAGUACCCCGAGGAAAAGAAAUCAACCGAGAUUCCCCCAGUAGCGGCGAGCGAACGGGGAGCAGCCCAGAGUCUGAAUCAGCUUGUGUGUUAGUGGAACGGUCUGGAAAGUCCGACGGUACAGGGUGAUAGUCCCGUACACCAAAAUGCACAGGUUGUGAACUCGAAGAGUAGGGCGGGACACGUGGUAUCCUGUCUGAAUAUGGGGGGACCAUCCUCCAAGGCUAAAUACUCCUGACUGACCGAUAGUGAACCAGUACCGUGAGGGAAAGGCGAAAAGAACCCCGGCGAGGGGAGUGAAAA